AGAGUUUGAUCCUGGCUCAGGACGAACGCUGGCGGCGUGCUUAACACAUGCAAGUCGAACGGAAAGGUCUCUUCGGAGAUACUCGAGUGGCGAACGGGUGAGUAACACGUGGGUGAUCUGCCCUGCACUUUGGGAUAAGCCUGGGAAACUGGGUCUAAUACCGGAUAGGACCGCGCCAUGCAUGUGGUGUGGUGGAAAGCUAUUUGCGGUGUGGGAUGGGCCCGCGGCCUAUCAGCUUGUUGGUGGGGUGAUGGCCUACCAAGGCGACGACGGGUAGCCGGCCUGAGAGGGUGUCCGGCCACACUGGGACUGAGAUACGGCCCAGACUCCUACGGGAGGCAGCAGUGGGGAAUAUUGCACAAUGGGCGCAAGCCUGAUGCAGCGACGCCGCGUGGGGGAUGACGGCCUUCGGGUUGUAAA
rnacentral:rRNA from 1 species